rnacentral:rRNA from 33 species
CAAAACUUUCAACAACGGAUCUCUUGGUUCUGGCAUCGAUGAAGAACGCAGCGAAAUGCGAUAAGUAAUGUGAAUUGCAGAAUUCAGUGAAUCAUCGAAUCUUUGAACGCACAUUGCGCCCGCCAGUAUUCUGGCGGGCAUGCCUGUCCGAGCGUCAUUU